rnacentral:rRNA from 1 species
GGGCGGCAAGCCUGAUGCAGCCAUGCCGCGUGUAUGAAGAAGGACCUUCGGUUGUAAAGUAACUUUCUAGCAGUGAGGAAGGUGGGUAGUGUUAAUAGCAUACUCAUUUGACGUUAGCUGCAGAAGAAGCACCGGCGUAACUCCGUGCCAGCAGCGCGGUAUACGGAGGGUGCGAGCGUUAAUCGGAAUUACUGGGCGUAAAGCGCAUGCAGGUGGUUUGUUAAGUCAGAUGUGAAAGCCCGGGGCUCAACCUCGGAAUUGCAUUUGAAACUGGCAAACUAGAGUACUGUAGAGGGGGUAGAAUUUCAGGUGUAGCGGUGAAAUGCGUAGAGAUCUGAAGGAAUACCGGUGGCGAAGGCGGCCCCCUGGACAGAUACUGACACUCAGAUGCGAAAGCGUGGGGAGCAAACAGGAUUAGCUACCCUGGUAG